UUGUGGCUAUCUCACAUUGAAACACAGGUUCUCGUAAUGAUCACUGUAGUUAAGCAGCAUCAAACACAGUCAGUAUCUAGAUGGGUGACCACUUGGGAAUACCAGAUGCUGUAAG